GCACAAGCAGCGGAGCGUGUGGUUUAAUUCGAUGCAACGCGAAGAACCUUACCAGGGUUUGACAUGCUUAAAGUAGGAACUCGAAAGAGGGACGACCUGUAUCCAGUCAGGAGUUUGCACAGGUGCUGCAUGGCUGUCGUCAGCUCGUGCCGUGAGGUGUUAGGUUAAGUCCUGCAACGAGCGCAACCCUCGUCGCUAGUUGUUUUCUCUAGCGAUACUGCCCGUAUAACGUGGAGGAAGGUGGGGAUGACGUCAAGUCAGCAUGGCCCUUACAUCCUGGGCUACACACACGCUACAAUGGGUGAUACAACAGGUUGCAAUAGAGUAAUCUGGAGCCAAUCCCUAAAAUCAUCCUCAGUACGGAUUGCAGGCUGCAACUGCCUGCAUGAAGUUGGAGUUGCUAGUAAACGCAGGUCAGCACACUGCGGUGAAUACGUUCCCGGGCCUU
rnacentral:rRNA from 1 species